AAUAGAUACCCCGGUAGUCCACGCCGUAAACGAUGAGUGCUAAGUGUUAGAGGGUUUCCGCCCUUUAGUGCUGCAGCUAACGCAUUAAGCACUCCGCCUGGGGAGUACGGCCGCAAGGCUGAAACUCAAAGGAAUUGACGGGGGCCCGCACAAGCGGUGGAGCAUGUGGUUUAAUUCGAAGCAACGCGAAGAACCUUACCAGGUCUUGACAUCCUCUGCCAACCCUAGAGAUAGGGCGUUCCCCUUCGGGGGACAGAGUGACAGGUGGUGCAUGGUUGUCGUCAGCUCGUGUCGUGAGAUGUUGGGUUAAGUCCCGCAACGAGCGCAACCCUUGAUCUUAGUUGCCAGCAUUCAGUUGGGCACUCUAAGGUGACUGCCGGUGACAAACCGGAGGAAGGUGGGGAUGACGUCAAAUCAUCAUGCCCCUUAUGACCGUGGGCUACACACGUGCUACAAUGGAUGGUACAAAGAGCUGCGAACCCGCGAGGGUAAGCGAAUCUCAUAAAGCCAUUCUCAGUUCGGAUUGUAGG
rnacentral:rRNA from 1 species